rnacentral:pre_miRNA from 1 species
UUUUUUGUAUGAGUAUAUCCCAUGCAAUAUUUGGGAUAUACUUAUCCUAAAA